UCAAAUUUAUUGUAAUUUACAAUCAGAAACAUUCCUACAUGUGCAGACACUGCUACUCAUUCUUACAUAUUUCUUUUAUAAUACAAACUAGCAAUGCUGUUACUUCUGCCGGGUAUAGAGUACAAUAUGCGGACACCCCCCAAAACCAAAUACACAACAGUACAGUUAAAAGAUCACAACAUUACACAACAAGCAUUAACUAGGUCAUGUGCCAUUUUCUGUACCGUAGCCCUCUUUUCUUGAAAGAUUUACAUUUUAAGAAGUCUUUCAGUGUUACCACUCUCCAAUCUCUGCAGGGAUAAAGUGCAAGACAGGAAGGCUUAAACAAAUAAACAGAUAAUGAAAACUAAAUAGAGUAACACUUUAUUGUACAAGUUUAAAAAUUCGGAAUAUUUCCCUAAUAUUUUCUCAGGAAAAAGUUGAAAGUUUGGUAUUUAUAGGAGAGUCAAAGACUGUGUGCAAUUACUACAUUCAUUCCAGGCAAUGAAUUAUAGAAUCUUGUACUUGAUAGAACAGGUUAAAUUCAUACAAAACCAUUUGUCUACAGGCAAGCAAUUCAAUAAAUUGAAAAUAAGGUUUUGGAUAACAUAGUGUGUUUGUACGAACACUUAAAGGGAAUUAUUUGGAAAAUAGAGAAACAACCACAGAUAAUUAUCCUGUGUUAUUUUCUGAGCCUUAUUACACUGAGUACAGGUCUCCUCUUUUUUUCUACUUAUUCUGUAUAUAAAAUACUACACUGAAAUACUGUAAACAGAUUUAAUUGAGAAGAUGACCUCAGAGCUGAGUCACAUUUGUUGGUUUCUCUGUUAAAAAAAAAAAAAGGCUUUCCCCAAACUUGUUUCAACAGGCAGUACCAGCCAGACUCCAGUGAUCUGGCACUGAAAAUGAAUGUGCUGUGCUUCAUCUUGUCGCUAUGCCAACCAAACAAAUGGAGUCAAGGUGACAGAAGAAAGGUCCGACUCAUGGGAGUGAGGAAAACAAGCAAAAAGGGGGGAGCAGGGGGAAUUGAUGUUGAGUGUCUCUGGUUUUUCUUAGGUGCUGUGCUGUCUCAUUAUCCAUCGGUGACGUACAGAAACUUAAAGGCCCAGAUAAAACUGGCCAAGACUUAAACAUCUGCAUCUAUAAUGUGCUCACAUUCUUUUUCUGGAUUUGAAAGAUGAUCUCAUAGAGGCGCAUCAUUUCAACCUUAUUAUCUAGAAAUUUAGGAAAAUAUAGAUGCAGUCGGAUGAAUAUUCAACUGCAUAUUUCGAUAAAGCACCAUCAUAAACAAAGCUAUAUAACAUCUUAAUUGUUAGACCAGUAUUGUCUAAAAUGUAGUGUCUAUAGGUUGAAUUAGCUGCAACUAAGAUGAACAUAGCAACAGAAAACACUACAUUACAUUCCUCUUAAUGCCACAAAUUUAACUUUUAGCAUUUGCCCGAGUACUCCUCAGUGACUGAUCGAAACAUGGGUGUGUGGACAUGUGUGUGUUGUAUAACAGAGUCCCAGGUGGCUCAACAAUAUCACGGAAACAAUGACUGGAAGAGAAAAUCACCAGUUAAUUCCACUGGCUCCGUGGGUCUGUGCUUCUUUACUGUGCAAGUCUGCAGGAAUGUGGUGUUAGAGCCAGCUGAUCACAUAUAACAUUUAUACAGAAGAAGUAUGUGAAAGGGCCAUGACAGACCAAGAAAAAGAGAAGUUGAGUUAUAUAUAUAAAAAAAAUAAAAAUGAAUUAACAGUCAGAAUCACUAUGGAGGUCAACAGCUGUGUCCAUGUUACAUAAUAACUGCCCUAGUGUAUAUUCUGCAUCUAAAUUUUCAUCACUGUUUAUUUUGACAAUUGAUAAAUCAUUUAUCUGAUUAAAGAACCAGGAAGAAGUAAACAAAAAGAAAAAAAAGGCAUUGAUUUUCUUCCUUUUUCAGUUCACUUUCAGUGUCAAAAAGGAAAGAUGAGCACACAUUUCUCAAAUCAAAGCAGCAUCUUCAAAAGUUUUAAAAAAUAUAAUUGGGAUGCGAAUGGAUGCAGCUUCAUGACCAACUGACAAAUCACAGCAGCUUUCAUCUUCAUGGUGUGUCUUUUUGCAGUUAGUGCAAAAAUCAAUCACCAAACUUUUUUUUUUUUUUUUUUUUAAAUUCUAGGAGUAAACUCACAGCCAGUUCUAGCAAAGAAGGCAUUUCCUCGGAAAACAAUGUCAUCAAAUCUGUAGAUACAAAACAUUUUUUAGUCUACAUGUGUGUAAAUGCGGUUACAGAUUUAAAUUACAAACGUGUGGCUAAUAUUAGUAUGUAAUAUGGACACAGCAAAAGAGUAAGUCCACACUAAGAAGGCAAAUUAGAAAACAUGUAUUCUCUUGUUUUAAGCCUCAGACAUUGCUACCAGCUGUGCUUAUUCAGAGUGGAAAAGUCUAAAAAUGCUGGCCUGGAAUUUGAGUUUUUAAUGAUGAAAACAGCUUUUGUUAAGUGGCUUUUUGCAGGAGCCCAAACAGAUGUUUGAGCUGCUUAGCUCUGCAGAGGAACAGAGCUGAGUCAUUCCCACUCUGGACCAGGUGGAGGCAGUCAUGCACCAUUUUGCAGUUUGUUGGCUGAAAAAGACACAGGUCAACAA